GAAUUUGCAUCUUUUUUCAUUGUUCAAAUAUUUAUAUAAUUUAAGUUUGCAAAUGUUCUGCUGUGCUUUGACUGAUAUUUCAAGGUUGUGAAUUUUCUUUAUUGUGCUUUGCCUUUUUAUAGUUUAUAGAAUCCUUAAAGUGACUUUAGGCCAUGUUUGGAUCUUAAAUUUAUUGAGGGAAAGCAAAAUGAAAUAAAAAAAGAUAGGAAACGAGACUAAAGUAAAAGGGGUUAAAUUUAUGUAUUUAUUUUUUAAUGCUUUAUCUGAUAGAAACAACUUCUUGAAUAAACUUGUAAUCUUCACAUUUACCAGCAACUUAUAGCAAAUUAAACUAAUAAAUCUCUAAAUUCCUAACUUCCACAAACUUAAUAUCCUGUGAAGUUCUCUUGUUGCCUUUUGAUUUAUUAUCUUGUGUUUCCUUCUCUUUGUUUCAGAUAUUGAUUGUGGUAGCACUUGGGUUUCAAAGUUUGUCUGUUUUAUUUGUUUCUAAUGGCGGUAUGUUAGACAAUGACACAUCGAAUGGAAUGAUGAGAAAUCUGCUCCUUUCUUUCUUUCUUUUCCUUUUGCUUAUGUUUUUGCUUGGGUCAUUGUUUAGAUUGAGAAGCUUUUAAAGAUGAAGCUAUAGAAGAAAAGGGUGAGCGAGCCAAUGUUUCUAGUCACUCUCAAGUUUGCAGUCAAUGUUUCUAGUGACCUUCAACAAUUCAUUUCUGCUACUUUGAAGACAUCGAUUGGUUAAUUCACUCUCUAUCAAGGUAUGCAUUAGAUGAUAUUGGUUCUGGAUCUCAUGUGCAUCUCAGUUUGUGUCAGAGUUGAACCCAUAUGAAUAGGUAGUUUGGUACUAACAGAGAAGUAUGCAUUUUUACCAGUUCUGUUAAAAUAUCUUGUCUACAUAGAAUUAUUUUUUAAGCAUGCAGUUAUAUUUGGAAAUUUGAUGGGUGUACUAUUGAUCUUGAGGAAAACCUUUCACGGUGAUGUUUCCAUCGAUGGGUGUACAAAUUGGUUUCUGCUUUUAAGACCAAUAAGCUUUAUUGAUCCUUAUUUGUUUUAUAGUUUUUAGUGAGUUAUAUGUUGAUAUCAUAUGAUUUUGAUUGUCCAUAUAAUACUCCAUUUUAUCAUUUAUGUGAUCCUUUCUGCAUUGUUGCAUAUUGUCUUCUUUUGUGGUGCUGUUUUACUGAUAUUUAUGUGGAGAAUCAAAAUAAUUAUGUCAUUUUUGGUGGCUGUGGGGAAAGGAUUGGGGGCAGUUUAACAACUGGAUAAAUUACAUUAUUUUUGGUGUGAUCUAAAUGUAAGUUUAUAAAUUAAUUAGUAAGUUUAUUCAUAUGCUUCUGGCGGUUUUUAAAU